rnacentral:lncRNA from 1 species
AGGUAACAAGCAGCUAUCUGCAUCAUCACUUGUUUAACUAUGGUCUUCUUUAUUUUAAGAAAUGAAGCUCCCCUGAAAGAAGAUGUUUUUAAUCUUGAAGAAACAGAAAGGAAGAAUAAUUUUCACCUGUCUAAAUCUGCUUCAGAAGAAAAGAAAAACCUCAUCUCCUUGACUAUUGAGGAUGAAAUGGAGAAACCAAAUGCCAAAAUAAUCAAUGUGGGCUCUCCGAAAGCAAAAUCUCCCAGGCCGGUGGUGAAAGUGAGUGAAACAUACCCCAUCAUUUAUGCUGAAGAAGGAUAUAUGCAAAACUUUAUUCUGAAGAAGUGGUUGCAUUUACAUGGAGAUAAAGUGUCUGGUGACUCAGAAAAGGAAAAUGAUGAGGUACAAACAAAUUCAAAUUCAGUUUUACAAAACAACUGUGAUUAUGCCCUUGCCUUAGUUGGAAAGGAAGAAAAGAGUAUGUUUAACAUAGCUGUGAAGGAGAAUAAAAAGCUAAAAAGAACAUUAUCCGGGAAACGGAAAAUCAAUAUUCAUAUUUUAUCUUCAGAUGGAAAAAAUAGGAGCUUAAAAGAUUCACAGAAGGAAAAAACUUUUGUGCAGAAAAUAGUUGGUAGCUUUCAUGAUGUUAAAAUACCAAUCAGUAAACUUACAUCAAAAGACAGGAAUGUUUCAACAACAAGGGCUGAAUGUAACCCUGAUGGCCUUGUUAUAUUUGGAGUGAACCCAAAAGCUGCAGCACACCAAUCUGCUAAAGCGAAUGCAGCAACCGUCGCUAAAUCUCACGGCUCUUACAGCAAGCCACUAACCACAGUCUCCCAGCUUCAUAAAAAAGGCAGGUUGGCUCAUUCUUCACAGUUGGAUUAUAUAUCCAUAACAAAACCUAUUAGAAUCCCUGACUUUCCAAAUGUCAAUUCACAGUCAUUUCACAAAAUCUCAAUGAAACGUGAUCAUUUGGAAAACAAAAGGAUUAGUCUAUCUGGAGUUUGUUUUAAGGAUAAACCUCCACCUAGUCAGAACAAUGAAGAAAUCACUGAAGUAUCCAAACCUGCCAGGUGUUCUCAGCCAGCUUCUUGCAAGGAAGAAACAUCAGCUGAGAUAAAGCUAAAUAAUAAGGAAUAUUGCAUAGAUAGUAGGAAAGGCCAAGAAUGGGAUAAUACUGUGGAAUUCUGGAGCACUCGCAGAUCUUCAGCAUCACUGAAAAAUUCACAUGCAGUGCCAGACAGUAGCCCUGAGCCCCAGAAAAAAGCAAUGCUACCUGAACGCCCAGCAUCAUUACCUGUUAACUUCAAUCAUCCAAUUAUUAGUAUACCAACUGCACAAUGUAAUGCCUCAGAAUUCAAGAUAAAAAAAGUCGAGGCUGAAUUUACAAAUGACACUGGAUACUCUAAAGGACACCAGGCGCUACAAUUAACUGAUGGUAUGUCUAACAAUGGGCUGCCAAAGAUAUAUGGGAUUGGUCAAUUUCUGAAAUAAGCAAUCUAGGUGUUGUGGUGAUUUUUUCUCAGAACAGCUAUUAUCCUGUACAUGAACUUAUGUAAACCAUGAGAGGUUUGCCAUUACAAUGAAUUAUGAUAUAGCAAUUAUAAGGGGAUGUGUGUCUCUUAAAAAUUAAUUGAUAGGCCUUUAUUCAAUGGUUUUAUUAGGCAAACAUAAAAAGCAUAAAAAUCCUAUUUCAAGCACAGAAGUUAUUUCUUUUAAAUCCUGAAUGACUUUGUGUGUGAACAUUUUAAUGCAUUAAGAUAUUUAUCUUUACUUAUAAAUACACAGAGAAGAGGUAUGUAACCCUUCUGCCUCUCUGAGUUGGCAGCAACAAGGGCCGGGUUCAGUAUCCAGGGGUUCCGUUUCAGUAACACAAUGCAUAACCGGCUCGAGCCCCCACCCAGUGACCUGGGACACUUACAUACCACACCGCCCUGGGCGCCUCUAGGAGGCAAUACUUCCCCUCUCGCAAGCACGGAGUCUGAGUGUAGCAAAAUCUUUUUAAUAAAGGAAGGAAUCAAUGCGGCA